GAUGAACGCUAGCUACAGGCUUAACACAUGCAAGUCGAGGGACCGGCGCACGGGUGAGUAACACGUAUCCAACCUGCCCUUUACUCGGGGAUAGCCUUUCGAAAGAAAGAUUAAUACCCGAUAUAAAGGAUGGGGAUGCGUUCCAUUAGGUUGUUGGUAAGGUAACGGCCCACCAAGCCUUCGAUGGAUAGGGGUUCGGAGAGGAAGGUCCCCCACAUGGGAACGGAGACACGGUCUAAACUCCUACGCGAGGCAGCAGGGAGGAAUAUUGGUCAAUGGGCGUUAGCCUGAACCAGCCAAGUAGAGUGAAGGAUGAAGGCUUAUGGGUCGUAAACUUCUUUUAUAUAAGAAUAUGUAUGAUAUGAAUAAGGAUCGGCUAACGCCGUGCCAGCAGCCGCGGUAAUUC
rnacentral:rRNA from 1 species